CCUACGGGUGACAGCAGUGGGGGAUAUUGCACAAUGGGGGAAACCCUGAUGCAGCGACGCCGCGUGUGGGAAGACGGUCCUCUGGAUUGUAAACCACUGUCCCCAGGGACGAAGAUGACGGUACCUGGGGAGGAAGCUCCGGCUAACUACGUGCCAGCAGCCGCGGUAAUAGGUAGGGAGCGAGCGUUGUCCGGAAUUACUGGGUGUAAAGGGAGCGUAGACGGGACUGCAAGUUGGGUGUCAAAUCUACCGGCUCAACCGGUAGCCGCACUCAAAACUGCAGUUCUUGAGUGAAGUAGAGGCAGGCGGAAUUCCUAGUGUAGCGGUGAAAUGCGUAGAUAUUAGGAGGAACACCAGUGGCGAAGGCGGCCUGCUGGGCUUUUACUGACGCUGAGGCUCGAAAGUGUGGGGAGCAAACAGGAUUAGAUACCCUGGUAGUC
rnacentral:rRNA from 1 species